UCAAACCUAUUUACAACGGCGGCAUUUCUCCUUAUUAGAGGAACCUGUUCAAUAAUCGAUAAUCCACGUUAAAUUUCACUUUAAUUAAUAAUUUAUAUACCGCCAUCUAAAAAAUUAAUUUUAAGAUAAUAUUUUUAAUAAUAAAUAAAAAGUUAGGUCAAGGUGUAGUCUAUAUUUUAGAAAACAAUGGGUUACAUUAAAUAAUAUUUAAGAAUAUUCCUAUAAAAAUAAUUAUUGAAAAAGGAUUUAAAAGUAAUAGCAAAAUAAUAUUUUGCUAUG
rnacentral:rRNA from 1 species